UACGAAGGGGGCUAGCGUUGCUCGGAAUUACUGGGCGUAAAGCGCACGUAGGCGGAUUGUUAAGUCGGGGGUGAAAUCCUGGAGCUCAACUCCAGAACUGCCUUCGAUACUGGCGAUCUCGAGUCCGAGAGAGGUGAGUGGAAUUCCGGAGUGAUAGAGGUGAAAUUCGUAGAUAUUCGGAGGAACACCAGUGGCGAAGGCGGCUCACUGGCUCGGUACUGACGCUGGAGGUGCGAAAGCGUGGG
rnacentral:rRNA from 1 species